GACGUAGGGUGCGAGCGUUGUCCGGAUUUAUUGGGCGUAAAGGGCUCGUAGGCGGUUUGUCGCGUCGGGAGUGAAAUCCACUGGCUUAACUGGUGGCUUGCUUUCGAUACGGGCAGACUGGAGGUAUGCAGGGGAGAACGGAAUUCCUGGUGUAGCGGUGAAAUGCGCAGAUAUCAGGAGGAACACCGGUGGCGAAGGCGGGUCUCUGGGCAGUAACUGGCGCUGAGGAGCGAAAGCGUGGGGAGCGAACAGG
rnacentral:rRNA from 1 species